rnacentral:SRP_RNA from 1 species
CCGUGCGAAGUGGGGAGAUAGCGGUGCCCUGUACCUGUAAUCCGCUAUAACAGGACUGUAUGCCUUUUUGAGGUUUUCUUCGGUGAAGUCUGGCUUUGAUAAGUAGUGUUGACGAUGGGGUCCUAUGCAAUAUGAACUCGUGAACCGUGUCAGGUCCGGAAGGAAGCAGCACUAAGCGACCAUUCAUAUGUGCCAUAGGUGUGCCUUGUCCGAGCCGGCUGUCAAAAUACCGUUCAUUGAGGGCUAUCGAUUCUUGGCUGCACGG